GACGAACGCUGGCGGCGUGCCUAAUACAUGCAAGUCGAGCGGGGAUUAUGCUUGAUCGCUUCGGUGAGACGGCAUAUAUCCUAGCGGCGGACGGGUGAGUAACACGUGGGUAAUCUGCCUCGUAGUCUGGGAUAACAAGCCGAAAGGCUUGCUAAUACCGGAUGAGUUCAUGUUAUUGCAUAGUGACAUGAAGAAAGGGGAGACCCGCUAUGAGAUGAGCCCGCGUCCCAUUAGCUAGUUGGUGGGGUAAAGGCCUACCAAGGCGACGAUGGGUAGCCGGCCUGAGAGGGUGGACGGCCACACUGGGACUGAGACACGGCCCAGACUCCUACGGGGGGCAGCAGUAGGGAAUCUUCGGCAAUGGGCGGAAGCCUGACCGAGCGACGCCGCGUGAGGGACGAAGGCCUUCGGGUUGUAAACCUCUGUCUGGGGGGACGAGUAAGGACGGUACCCCCGGAGGAAGCCCCGGCUAACUACGUG
rnacentral:rRNA from 1 species